AGCUUUUUGAAUCCGUGCUGAGAUUUCGUCAGACAUCAACUCAUCAGGACUGAUCAGACUUACAAGAUAAGUGAAAUU
rnacentral:pre_miRNA from 1 species